GACGAACGCUGGCGGCGUGCUUAACACAUGCAAGUCGAACGGUAAGGCUCCAGCUUGCUGGGGUACACGAGUGGCGAACGGGUGAGUAACACGUGGGUGACCUGCCCUGCACUUCGGGAUAAGCCUGGGAAACCGGGUCUAAUACCGGAUAGGACUGCACCGUGAGGGUGUGGUGGAAAGUUUUUUCGGUGUGGGAUGGGCCCGCGGCCUAUCAGCUUGUUGGUGGGGUAAUGGCCUACCAAGGCGGCGACGGGUAGCCGGCCUGAGAGGGUGGACGGCCACAUUGGGACUGAGACACGGCCCAGACUCCUACGGGAGGCAGCAGUGGGGAAUAUUGCACAAUGGGCGGAAGCCUGAUGCAGCGACGCCGCGUGGGGGAUGACGGCCUUCGGGUUGUAAACUCCUUUCACCAUCGACGAAGGGUUUCUGACGGUAGAUGGAGAAGAAGCACCGGCUAACUACGUGCCAGCAGCCGCGGUAAUACGUAGGGUGCGAGCGUUGUCCGGAAUUACUGGGCGUAAAGAGCUCGUAGGUGGUUUGUCGCGUCGUCUGUGAAAUUCCGGGGCUUAACUCCGGGCGUGCAGGCGAUACGGGCAUAACUUGAGUACUGUAGGGGAGACUGGAAUUCCUGGUGUAGCGGUGAAAUGCGCAGAUAUCAGGAGGAACACCGGUGGCGAAGGCGGGUCUCUGGGCAGUAACUGACGCUGAGGAGCGAAAGCAUGGGGAGCGAACAGGAUUAGAUACCCUGGUAGUCCAUGCCGUAAACGGUGGGCGCUAGGUGUGGGUUUCCUUCCACGGGAUCCGUGCCGUAGCUAACGCAUUAAGCGCCCCGCCUGGGGAGUACGGCCGCAAGGCUAAAACUCAAAGGAAUUGACGGGGGCCCGCACAAGCGGCGGAGCAUGUGGAUUAAUUCGAUGCAACGCGAAGAACCUUACCUGGGCUUGACAUAUACAGGAUCGCGCCAGAGAUGGUGUUUCCCUUGUGGCUUGUAUACAGGUGGUGCAUGGUUGUCGUCAGCUCGUGUCGUGAGAUGUUGGGUUAAGUCCCGCAACGAGCGCAACCCUUGUCUUAUGUUGCCAGCACGUUGUGGUGGGGACUCGUAAGAAACUGCCGGGGUUAACUCGGAGGAAGGUGGGGAUGACGUCAAAUCAUCAUGCCCCUUAUGUCCAGGGCUUCACACAUGCUACAAUGGUCGGUACAGUGGGUUGCCAGUCCGUGAGGGCGAGCUAAUCCCGCAAAGCCGGUCUCAGUUCGGAUCGGGGUCUGCAACUCGACCCCGUGAAGUCGGAGUCGCUAGUAAUCGCAGAUCAGCAACGCUGCGGUGAAUACGUUCCCGGGCCU
rnacentral:rRNA from 1 species